CGGGGGGCAGGGAGGGGUCCCUCAGCCUGGAUGGUGAGAAGGUGCAAGCCAGGCCUAGGGACCCCACUGGUGCACC
rnacentral:pre_miRNA from 1 species